rnacentral:misc_RNA from 1 species
UUUCCGUAGGUGAACCUGCGGAAGGAUCAUUAUUGUAUAACCGAGGUGCGAGGGCUGUCGCUGACCCGAAAGGUCGUGCACGCCCGAGUGCCCUCACACACAUCCAUCUCACCCCUAUGUGCACCACCGCGCGGGUCCCCCUUUGGCUUGUUCGGAGGGGGGCUUUCGUUUUCACACAAACUUUGUAUGCAGUGUAGAAUGUAUUUUUUGUUUUUGCGAUCACGCAAUCAAUACAACUUUCAACAACGGAUCUCUUGGCUCUC